rnacentral:rRNA from 1 species
UACGUAGGGCGCAAGCGUUAUCCGGAAUUAUUGGGCGUAAAGAGCUCGUAGGCGGUUUGUCGCGUCUGCCGUGAAAGUCCGGGGCUCAACUCCGGAUCUGCGGUGGGUACGGGCAGGCUAGAGUCUCGUAGAGGGGGGUAGAAUUCCAGGUGUAGCGGUGAAAUGCGUAGAGAUCGGAAAGAACACCAACGGCGAAAGCACUCUGCUGGGCCGACACUGACACUGAGAGACGAAAGCUAGGGGAGCGAAUGGG